rnacentral:tRNA from 1 species
GAGGGUAUAGCUCAGUAGUAGAGUGUGUGCUUAGCAUGCUUGAGGUCCUGGGUUCAAUUCCCAGUACCUCCA